GAUCAUUCGGUGCCGACUAAGGCUCUAUAUAAGUCAAGGCGUGUUCAGACUCCUUCCCUCACGCCUGACGGAGCUGGAUUCUCUCCAGGACCCUGGUCACCAGCUUCAUCUUGCUCGGACAACCAUCAUGCUCCCCAUUAUGUCUCCACUAGGGAUCACUACCAUAGAUCACCUCAUCGAUCACCAUCAUACCGUCACCACUGCUGUCACGAUGAACUGCGCUACUCUUGCUAUUCUCGUUCUCCAUCUCGUUUUUCUGGUAGAUCUAUCUUACCAAGAUCCUCGAGAUGCUCAAGAUAUUCACACCGAUGCGAUGCGUCCAGAGCCUACUCUCCCAGGCGCUCCCCAACUCACCGUCAGAUAUGAUCAUUACUAUGAUGACCGCCUACCUUCUCAUAGCACGCGAUGCCCGCGCCCGCGCUCACGAUCUCCACAACCCACUAGUCUAGUGUAUCCACUUCACACACCUUCACCAACGGUUCCAUCAGUGCCUGUGGAGGACACUAUCUCGGUUUCUAAUCGUGACGAGCAUGAGAACAACUAUACCCCAAACAGGGAACCUCAGAGCCCUGGGUCUCCGGCCCAUCUCCUGACGAAGCUGUCUUCCCUGGAGAGCUAUCUCCCAUGAAAGAUCAUAAACAAUUUCAAGAGCUUUUUGCGAGGGUUGCGCAAUCUCAUGGUAUUCAAACUACGGACGUGCAGCAUAAGCAACACCCCUUGCUAAAGAACUUGAAGUGGUCACAAAAAUCGAAGCUGGCUCUGCCCUUUGAUGAGGCUAUCCUGGAAAUCGCAAAUGAUAUAUGGCAGACUCCUGCUGCUUCUUUACCGACUAACAAGAGACCUGAUAAGAAAUAUUUUAUAAACCAAAAG